CCUACGGGUGGCAGCAGUGAGGAAUAUUGGUCAAUGGACGAGAGUCUGAACCAGCCAAGUAGCGUGAAGGAUGACUGCCCUAUGGGUUGUAAACUUCUUUUAUAUGGGAAUAAAAUGUUCCACGUGUGGGAUUUUGUAUGUACCAUAUGAAUAAGGAUCGGCUAACUCCGUGCCAGCAGCCGCGGUAAUACGGAGGAUCCGAGCGUUAUCCGGAUUUAUUGGGUUUAAAGGGAGCGUAGGUGGAUUGUUAAGUCAGUUGUGAAAGUUUGCGGCUCAACCGUAAAAUUGCAGUUGAAACUGGCAGUCGUGAGUACAGUAGAGGUGGGCGGAAUUCGGUGUGUAGCGGUGAAAUGCUUAGAUAUCACGAAGAACUUCGAUUGCGAAGGCAGCUCACUGGACUGCAACUGACACUGAGGCUCGAAAGUGUGGGUAUCAAACAGGAUUAGAUACCCUUGUAGUC
rnacentral:rRNA from 1 species